rnacentral:rRNA from 1 species
UACGUAGGGUGCGAGCGUUGUCCGGAAUUAUUGGGCGUAAAGAGCUCGUAGGCGGUUCGUCACGUCGGCUGUGAAAUCCCGAGGCUCAACCUCGGGUCUGCAGUCGAUACGGGCGGACUUGAGUACUGCAGGGGAGACUGGAAUUCCUGGUGUAGCGGUGAAAUGCGCAGAUAUCAGGAGGAACACCGGUGGCGAAGGCGGGUCGCUGGGCAGUAACUGACGCUGAGGAGCGAAAGCGUGGGGAGCGAACAGG